GUUCAUCAGACUGCUUCUAUCAUUCAGUUGACCACGGAACAAAGAUCAAGGUGAAAAUAGUUAAAUCGUGAGAGAUCUCAACCUUCUCGAUGGACCCUUCAAGCAAACAUUUUGAGGUGGAAUCUUUUGACCCAAACUGUCUGCUGCCAGUGAAAGCUAAAUUAAGUCAACAAGGAUUGCUGGACUUACACCUAAAGGCCAAUCUUGACUUCUCUAUCCAAGCCAUUGCGGCUCUUCCUGCACCCAGGCGGCAUCAUGAAGUCUAAUGGAAUGGAGACAAAUUUCUAUUGUUAAUCACUACAGGGAUCCCUAUACAGUCUACAUGGGACCAAACGGGCCACAGUCUCGACUCACAACCGGCAGCCUGUCAGAAAGCCACUUUGCUGGGGAUCAUUGUCAUGAUGAAACUGAGAGCUGCAUGAAACAAGACAAAGAAGCAGUGAGUAAGUCUGACAAAAUCCCUUUAUUUCUGGAACAACUGGAGCUUAAGAUCUCCUGUGGAGAGUUGCAUCUCACAUACAGUACCAAUCAUCCCCUACAUACCAUCCACAUCCAGCCACACCGAGUCUAUCUGGGAAAAAGAGACAAAGACACAUAUGAAGAAGGGUGGAGAGAUGGGGAAAAGCCUGUUGCAUGUUUCAGAAUCUGCUGCUGACCUCUGAAGGCUACUGGGGUGCCGAUAGCCGAAUCAUACUUCAAGGUGAUGGAUAGAUGGUGGAGUUUAUCAUUUUAGACCCAAACAGACAUGAAACCGUGCAUUUCAUCUUCACCGAUGCCUAUAACAAU